rnacentral:rRNA from 1 species
ACGAACGCUGGCGGCAUGCCUAACACCUGCAAGUCGAACGAGACCUUCGGGUCUAGUGGCGCACGGGUGCGUAACGCGUGGGAACCUGCCCUUAGGUUCGGAAUAACUCCCCGAAAGGGGUGCUAAUACCGGAUAAUGUCUUCGGACCAAAGAUUUAUCGCCUUUGGAUGGGCCCGCGUUGGAUUAGCUAGUUGGUAGGGUAAAAGCCUACCAAGGCGACGAUCCAUAGCUGGUCUGAGAGGAUGAUCAGCCACACUGGGACUGAGACACGGCCCAGACUCCUACGGGAGGCAGCAGUGGGGAAUAUUGGACAAUGGGCGAAAGCCUGAUCCAGCAAUGCCGCGUGAGUGAUGAAGGCCUUAGGGUUGUAAAGCUCUUUUACCCGGGAUGAUAAUGACAGUACCGGGAGAAUAAGCUCCGGCUAACUCCGCG